CGCUGCCCGCCCCAUCCCGACC
rnacentral:miRNA from 1 species